CUUUCGUGUUUUGGGGUUUUGGCGUGGUGACGCAACUGCAAAGGCAAAUCCAGCAACCCUGCGCGUCAAAGAAAGCAUCAUAAUGAAAGAUGCAAGCUUGAAAACAAGAGCGGUGGGUUUGCAUUUGCGCCAAUGCUGCCAGAGAGCAUGAGCACGUGCAAUAAACUCCGUACACUUUCAUCUGAUACUUUCUUGCCGAGUUUUGUUCUUUGGCAAUGGAAGGCCAUACCCUGGAAACUUGGCUCAAGUCGCUGCGGUGCUGGUCACUCGUGUAAAUGCCGCGCUGCUUUGUCGACGUCGUGCUCGACGACGACCAUAAAUGGGUGAGAGGAGGCACACAGUUGCCUGUUACCCUGAUGCGGAGGCUCACCCCCUAGCUGUCUGCCAUCUUCACUUUGGCCCGGUCAGAGAGGAUGGCCGGUCCGCCGUCUGCCAUCUUGACACUGACCUGGCCAGGGAGAAAGGACUCCAUCUUCUACAUCAUGUCAAGUAAGAUGCUCGCUUCGUCUGCCAUCUUGCAGGUCUUGCCGAUGUGGGACCAUGUCCACUUCUAGGCUGACGAGCUGCUGCAAAAAUUCCAGUUGUCUAUCUUCUUUUGCGAUUUCAACGGCUUUUUUGAUAGUGAAAUUAUGACCGAGCUGAACAAAUCUGCGCCUCAGCUGCGACGAAGCCAUGCCACAAAGAAUUUGGUCAUCUGCCAUGACAUCCACGGCUGUGCUGAAGUUAUACAGUCGAACCGGUUAUAUCGAACUUGAAAAAAAAAAAAAGACGCCUAUCAGUUCCAUGUAGGGCAUAAUUUGAUAUAAACCUGCUAAGGGUUGGUCAUCAUAAAAGUACAUACAAUUUAUAAAAUCACUUUAUUGAUGAAACUAGCUUAGUUUUGCAUGAAAUAGUCCCGUAUCUUCUUCUGCUUGAACAAUUUCACUGCCCGUGACAGCACAUACUUCACAUUUUCUAGAGUUGGAGCAACAGAGGGGGCAAUCUUCCACAUUCGCACAGAAGCACCGGAGUAGUGCGAGUGCAAGAAUCGCCUUGAAGGAUGUGGCCAAAGGAUCGUCAUUGCUUUCCUCGUUGUGCCCGCUUCACUUGUGCUCGGUAUGAUGUCAGCAAUGUGGCCUUCCCGUGGUUGCGACAUUAUCAUUCGCAGUCACAUUCACAAACUUUAGCGGAGUUUUAUAUAUGACACAUGUCGUGCAAGGCAAAUGCAAAUUUUUAUGCUUGAUUUCACAAGAGGCUGAGCCCGUGCUUCCUCUUUCCACCAUGCUGCACAACUUUGAAAGUUUACAAGGUGCUGAAAGGACAGCAUCAACCCCAUAUUUACCAGAAAUCUUUUUAAGAUUGUGGGAAACCUUAGGUAUGUAGGGAAGUUAUUGGUAUUUACGCGACUUUUCGGGUGCACUCAUGGGUCUCAUCUGUAUUGUCACGUAGUGGUGACGGCAGUCGCAGGAACGAUGAAGAUGGACAAAAGUUCUUCAACAGAAAACUGUUUAUUGGGCUGACUUGCACCCACAAUGGACUGAAUCACUCGGCGGCGGCGAAGUGACCAGCGUGCUCGGCGGUCGUCGAGCAGAAUGCCCGCCGCUGUCGUCCGCACUCAAUUUAAAGCUGAUAGCGAGCUUUCUAGAUAAAGCGUGCAAAGUUACUAGAACAUUCUGGAACAACCUAGAAUCAGCUCUGUCUGGAUGAUAUCAAUCGAGAUAAACCUGGGCGCGUCUUGCGUCGCAAACAAAGCGAUAAAGCGGCGUGGCGACAGAUUUGAAGAAUGAACAAACACUGCAAAGAUUCGCGGCAAUAUAAGCUUGCCGUUUGUUGCAUUAAAUCAUCAGUUAUCAGUACCGCAUCGAUUUGUCCCUUUCUUCAAAUCUCAUGUUUUCUUGCAGUAACUUACCAAAAUCUGUUUAUAGAAUUUCUUAUCCUGAGUUCAAUUAUAUAGUUGGUUUUCUUUCAAGUUGCAUACUUUCUGUUCUGCGCCAUGACAUAGGCCUUGUGCACCGUGUUUUUCCAUCAUUGAACUUCUAUUUUUAUGGACCACUGAUGGUUCUUAUUCUUCCAAUUGAACUGUAGAAUGUCAGAAACUAAGUAGGAAGUGCAUAUA